CGACACCUCGUCGGAGAAUACCUGGCACCGUCACUAAGUAGAAUUGUUUUAUAGUUUUUGUGUCUACUACCAGUAGGCUACGUAGGCCUACAAAUGGGUCAUUCGUUUUGAGGACUGUCACACAAGGGUCGGAUUGCAAAAUUAACUAUUGAACUUCUAAACAGCAUUCUGCAGCCGAUGCAUCAUCCCAACGGAGUAGGCAGUGAAUCUGACAUCAAUGUAAUGAAGAGAUAAUCCUUUGAACCUACCGCCUGAUGUGUAUUAUGUGGAUCUCUUCCGUGUGAGUGCUUUGUGGAAAAGUGCUAUACCGUAUCUUGUACGUGGAAGUGAAGAAAUUAUACGGUUUAGGCGCGAGAUACAAAACGUGUCAUAGGCCUCAAUGUUCCUGCGUGACAUGCAAUUUUAUCUUCAGAUGUAUCUAAAUGUUAGUUUAAAUGACUAAUUGUGUGCAACAAAGAUUCUAUAUAUAAUUUUCUGAGAAAAAAAAACAACUUUUGACUUACGUAAUCGCUUCACUAGUCCUAAGAAUAUUCUUGUAUAUUUGCUUGUGUUUUUUUAUGUAGCAUUUAUAAGCUUAGAUAUAUGAUCCUGAGUUGUUUUAUGAACAAAAAUUGAAAACGAAAGAUUUAU